UGGGAAGGCCAUGACAACCAGGAGGUUGGCUUAGAAGCAGCCAUCCUUUAAAGAAAGCGUAAUAGCUCACUGGUCUAAAUAAGCCGGCCUGCGCCGAAGAUGUACCGGGGCUCAAGCCACCCACCGAAGCUGAGGAUGCAUGUCUUCGGACAUGCGUGGUAGCGGAGCGUUCCGUAGGCCUGUGAAGGGGUCCUGUAAGGGGUCCUGGAGGUAUCGGAAGUGAGAAUGCUGACAUGAGUAGCGACAAAGAGUGUGAGAAACACUCUCGCCGAAAGUCCAAGGGUU
rnacentral:rRNA from 1 species